rnacentral:rRNA from 1 species
UAGGGAAUAUUAGUAAUGGGCGAAAGCCUGAACUAGCAACGCCGCGUGUGCGAAGAAGGCCUUCGGGUUGUAAAGCACUUUUUGAGAGGAUGGGGAAGGACGGUACUCUCAGAAUAAGUCUCGGCUAACUACGUGCCAGCAGCCGCGGUAACACGUAGGAGGCAAACGUUAUCCGGAUUUACUGGGCGUAAAGCGCGUGUAGGUGGCUUGGUAAGUAGGGCGUGAAAGCUCCUGGCUCAACUGGGAGAGGCCGUUCUAAACUGCCGAACUAGAGGAUGGUAGAGGGAGGUGGAAUUCCGGGUGUAGCGGUGGAAUGCGCAGAUAUCCGGAGGAACACCAGUGGCGAAAGCGGCCUCCUGGACCAUUCCUGACACUCAGACGCGAAAGCUAGGGUAGCAAACGG